rnacentral:tRNA from 1 species
GGGCCGAUGGUCCAGUUGGUUAAGACGCUGCCUUGACGUGGCAGAAAUCACAGGUUCAAAUCCUGUUCGGCCCA